CGAAGUGCGAUAAGCAAUGCGAAUUGCAGAACCGUGAGUCAUCAGAUUUUUGAACGCAACUGGCGCCGGUUGGCUCUCCAACCGGCAUGCUUGUUUCAGUGUCUCUUUAUCUCAUCACCCAUAUCAUAAUGCGAGAGAUACCCUUCUCUUGCUAAGCUCGAAAGCACUCUGCGCUCUGCGAGCGGCUUCGACUUGUUCGAGGGUCGCACUCAAUGCAGCCGUCACAUUGCUCACAAUGUGAACUCAUUGAGAGCUGAGGCAGUGUAGCGUAAGCUACCAGUGCUUAGUCACACAAACUUUACUUGCAUCUGAAAUCAAGCAGGAUCACCCGCUGAACUUAAGC
rnacentral:misc_RNA from 1 species